CUCUUCGGGGAUGAUUAAACCGGCGCACGGGUGAGUAACACGUGAGUGACCUGCCUUUUAGACUGGAACAACUUACCGAAAGGUGAGCUAAUGCCGGAUGAGUUAUAUAAGUGCAUGUUUAUAUAGGAAAAGUUGGGGAGACCUGACGCUGAAAGAUGGACUCGCGUCCCAUUAGCUAGUUGGUAGGGUAAUGGCCUACCAAGGCGACGAUGGGUAGCCGGCCUGAGAGGGUGGCCGGCCACACUGGGACUGAGACACGGCCCAGACUCCUACGGGAGGCAGCAGUGGGGAAUUUUGCGCAAUGCUCGUAAGAGUGACGCAGCGACGCCGCGUGAAUGACGAAGGCCUUCGGGUCGUAAAGUUCUUUCGACAGGGAAGAAAAUGCCUAUAAGUAACUGUGUAUGUAUUGACGGUACCUGUAUAAGCAGCCCCGGCUAACUCCGUGCCAGCAGCCGCGGUAAUACGGAGGGGGCGAGCGUUGUUCGGAGUGACUGGGCGUAAAGAGCACGUAGGCGGUGUUGUAAGUCAUUAGUCAAAGACUAGAGCUCAACUUUAGUAAGGCUAGUGAUACUAUAAUACUAGAGUAUCAGAGAGGAUUGCAGAAUUCCUGGUGUAGCGGUGAAAUGCGUAGAUAUCAGGAGGAAUACCGUUAGCGAAGGCGGCAAUCUGGCUGGAAACUGACGCUGAGGUGCGAAAGCGUGGGUAGCAAACAGGAUUAGAUACCCUGGUAGUCCACGCUGUAAACGAUGGAUGCUAGGUGUUGGGCUUUUAAGUUCAGUGCCGC
rnacentral:rRNA from 1 species